CACGUAGGGCGCAAGCGUUGUCCGGAAUUAUUGGGCGUAAAGAGCUCGUAGGCGGUGUGUCGCGUCGGCCGUGAAAACCUGCAGCUUAACUGUGGGCUUGCGGUCGAUACGGGCAUCACUGGAGUUCGGCAGGGGAGACUGGAAUUCCUGGUGUAGCGGUGAAAUGCGCAGAUAUCAGGAGGAACACCGGUGGCGAAGGCGCCACUCUGGGCCGAAACUGACGCUGAGGAGCGAAAGCGUGGGUAGCAAACAGG
rnacentral:rRNA from 1 species